AGAGUUUGAUCCUGGCUCAGGAUGAACGCUAGCUACAGGCUUAACACAUGCAAGUCGAGGGGAAACGAUAUUGGAAGCUUGCUUCCGAUAGGCGUCGACCGGCGCACGGGUGAGUAACGCGUAUCCAACCUGCCCACCACUUGGGGAUAACCUUGCGAAAGUAAGACUAAUACCCAAUGACGUCUCUAGAAGACAUCUGAAAGAGAUUAAAGAUUUAUCGGUGAUGGAUGGGGAUGCGUCUGAUUAGCUUGUUGGCGGGGUAACGGCCCACCAAGGCGACGAUCAGUAGGGGUUCUGAGAGGAAGGUCCCCCACAUUGGAACUGAGACACGGUCCAAACUCCUACGGGAGGCAGCAGUGAGGAAUAUUGGUCAAUGGACGAGAGUCUGAACCAGCCAAGUAGCGUGCAGGAAGACGGCCCUAUGGGUUGUAAACUGCUUUUAUAAGGGAAUAAAGUGAGUCUCGUGAGACUUUUUGCAUGUACCUUAUGAAUAAGGACCGGCUAAUUCCGUGCCAGCAGCCGCGGUAAUACGGAAGGUCCGGGCGUUAUCCGGAUUUAUUGGGUUUAAAGGGAGCGUAGGCCGGAGAUUAAGCGUGUUGUGAAAUGUAGACGCUCAACGUCUGCACUGCAGCGCGAACUGGUUUCCUUGAGUACGCACAAAGUGGGCGGAAUUCGUGGUGUAGCGGUGAAAUGCUUAGAUAUCACGAAGAACUCCGAUUGCGAAGGCAGCUCACUGGAGCGCAACUGACGCUGAAGCUCGAAAGUGCGGGUAUCGAACAGGAUUAGAUACCCUGGUAGUCCGCACGGUAAACGAUGGAUGCCCGCUGUUGGUCUGAACAGGUCAGCGGCCAAGCGAAAGCAUUAAGCAUCCCACCUGGGGAGUACGCCGGCAACGGUGAAACUCAAAGGAAUUGACGGGGGCCCG
rnacentral:rRNA from 1 species